UUUGUUGACUCCUUUGCUGCUUACAACAGCCUUUUCACAACAAUUAAAGUGUAAAUUAGAUGGCUCUGGGAACCUAUGAGGGAAUACAAAGUUGAAAUCAACUGAAAUCAACAGUGACAGAACAGGGAUGGUCUCCCCUUUUCUCUCUGGAGUCAACAACUGGAGUAGCCUGGAGAUGAAACAUCUUCACCAUUGUCACUGAAAAGAUCUGAGACAAAAUCGCAACCAAGGCUGCACUGAAAUUCUUCUGCAUCCUAUUAAGCCACUGUUUCACACUUUGGAGUGGAUUUGUGGCACACUUGCCCAACAAAUGAACAGCUCUGGAAGAGGAACUUUUCAUUUUGAUGAUUUUUGGAGCAGAUGUGCUGAAGAGGGGAACCCAGAGGAACA